rnacentral:rRNA from 1 species
UACGGAGGGUGCAAGCGUUGUUCGGAAUUAUUGGGCGUAAAGCGCGUGUAGGCGGUUUUUUAAGUCUGAUGUGAAAGCCCCGGGCUCAACCUGGGAAGUGCAUUGGAUACUGGAAGACUUGAGUACGGGAGAGGGUAGUGGAAUUCCUAGUGUAGGAGUGAAAUCCGUAGAUAUUCGGAAGAACACCAGUGGCGAAGGCGACUCACUGGCCCAAUACUGACGCUGAGGCUCGAAAGCGUGGGGAGCAAACAGGAUUAGAAACCCGGGUAGU